rnacentral:rRNA from 1 species
CUAAAAGCCAUCCCAGUUCGGAUUGCAGGCUGCAACCCGCCUGUAUGAAGUUGGAAUCGCUAGUAAUCGCGGAUCAGCAUGCCGCGGUGAAUACGUUCCCGGGCCUUGUACACACCGCCCGUCACACCAUGAGAGUCGGGAACACCCGAAGUCCGUAGCCUAACCGCAAGGGGGGCGCGGCCGAAGGUGGGUUCGAUAGUUGGGGUGAAGUCGUAACAAGGUAAC